rnacentral:rRNA from 1 species
GCAGUCGCCGCGGGAAUACGGAGGGAGCUAGCGUUGUUCGGAAUUACUGGGCGUAAAGCGCACGUAGGCGGCUUUGUAAGUUAGAGGUGAAAGCCUGGAGCUCAACUCCAGAAUUGCCUUUAAGACUGCAUCGCUUGAAUACAGGAGAGGUGAGUGGAAUUCCGAGUGUAGAGGUGAAAUUCGUAGACAUUCGGAAGAACACCAGUGGCGAAGGCGGCUCACUGGACUGGUAUUGACGCUGAGGUACGAAAGCGUGGGGAGCAAACAGGAUUAGAUACCCCUGUAGUCCCUGUCUCUUAUAC